AAGCCAAAUCACGAAGCAGAAUCAAAAUAUUGGUAUAGCAGAAUCAAAACAUUGGUAUAGCGGUUAGGCUGUGUUACAACUAUGAAGGAUCAAUACAACAAUGCACUCGGUAAAAAACGAUUGCUGUUUCCAUAUUAUUACAUUAUGAAAAAAGGCACAUUCAAAACCUGUAUAAAAAGCUUUCGAAUUAGUCAAAAUAACUUUUUCUCAAACUCUGGUUACAGUAUGGCGAAUCAUUAAAUUUCACAAAACAGAGGUCACUGACUUUAACUGAACAUCGAAACAAUUAAUUCCCAAUUAGACUUUAACAGCACUCUAUAAUUUGUCCCGUUUGUAAAUUGCGUUCAAGGGUUAUAGGUCCAGAUUACAAGUCAAACAAUAAAGAAAUACAAAGCCAUCGCUAACAACUUGGUUCACUAAAGUUAACCAUUUAAUUAACAGUUUAAGUUGAACUUUGAUGAAUAAAAAAUUAUUGUUGCGGCUGCAGAAACCGGAUACAAAAAUUUCAGAAACAGUUGAUUUCCAAUUUGGUAAUACGGAGAUCUCGCUUCGAUGCUCCACUUAAAAUAUAAUAUGAACAAGUUGCUGCUUAUCACUAUGCUGAUCGGGCUUCUCUGGUUGGUUGACGAAGGAGAGUUGUAUUGUUGGCGUCGCAGGUUGUUCUACCGCAGGCGUUUUCACGUUCACGAUGACCACGGUUCAACAAAAGUUCUGGUUGUUAACAAAAACAAAGUGAUAAUUGUCAAUCCAAGUGCUGGUUCUCAAUAAAAUAAACCAUUCUGCA